rnacentral:rRNA from 1 species
GGUUAAUGAGGCGAACCGGGGGAACUGAAACAUCUAAGUACCCCGAGGAAAAGAAAUCAACCGAGAUUCCCCCAGUAGCGGCGAGCGAACGGGGAGGAGCCCAGAGCCUGAAUCAGUGUGUGUGUUAGUGGAAGCGUCUGGAAAGGCGCGCGAUACAGGGUGACAGCCCCGUACACAAAAAUGCACAUGCUGUGAGCUCGAUGAGUAGGGCGGGACACGUGGUAUCCUGUCUGAAUAUGGGGGGACCAUCCUCCAAGGCUAAAUACUCCUGACUGACCGAUAGUGAACCAGUACCGUGAGGGAAAGGCGAAAAGAACCCCGGCGAGGGGAGUGAAAAAGAACCUGAAACCGUGUACGUACAAGCAGUGGGAGCACAGAGCAAUCUGUGUGACUGCGUACCUUUUGUAUAAUGGGUCAGCGACUUAUAUUCUGUAGCAAGGUUAACCGAAUAGGGGAGCCGAAGGGAAACCGAGUCUUAACUGGGCGUUAAGUUGCAGGGUAUAGACCCGAAACCCGGUGAUCUAGCCAUGGGCAGGUUGAAGGUUGGGUAACACUAACUGGAGGACCGAACCGACUAAUGUUGAAAAAUUAGCGGAUGACUUGUGGCUGGGGGUGAAAGGCCAAUCAAACCGGGAGAUAGCUGGUUCUCCCCGAAAGCUAUUUAGGUAGCGCCUCGUGAAUUCAUCUCCGGGGGUAGAGCACUGUUUCGGCAAGGGGGUCAUCCCGACUUACCAACCCGAUGCAAACUGCGAAUACCGGAGAAUGUUAUCACGGGAGACACACGGCGGGUGCUAACGUCCGUCGUGAAGAGGGAAACAACCCAGACCGCCAGCUAAGGUCCCAAAGUCAUGGUUAAGUGGGAAACGAUGUGGGAAGGCCCAGACAGCCAGGAUGUUGGCUUAGAAGCAGCCAUCAUUUAAAGAAAGCGUAAUAGCUCACUGGUCGAGUCGGCCUGCGCGGAAGAUGUAACGGGGCUAAACCAUGCACCGAAGCUGCGGCAGCGACACUAUGUGUUGUUGGGUAGGGGAGCGUUCUGUAAGCCUGUGAAGGUGUGCUGUGAGGCAUGCUGGAGGUAUCAGAAGUGCGAAUGCUGACAUAAGUAACGAUAAAGCGGGUGAAAAGCCCGCUCGCCGGAAGACCAAGGGUUCCUGUCCAACGUUAAUCGGGGCAGGGUGAGUCGACCCCUAAGGCGAGGCCGAAAGGCGUAGUCGAUGGGAAACAGGUUAAUAUUCCUGUACUUGGUGUUACUGCGAAGGGGGGACGGAGAAGGCUAUGUUGGCCGGGCGACGGUUGUCCCGGUUUAAGCGUGUAGGCUGGUUUUCCAGGCAAAUCCGGAAAAUCAAGGCUGAGGCGUGAUGACGAGGCACUACGGUGCUGAAGCAACAAAUGCCCUGCUUCCAGGAAAAGCCUCUAAGCAUCAGGUAACAUCAAAUCGUACCCCAAACCGACACAGGUGGUCAGGUAGAGAAUACCAAGGCGCUUGAGAGAACUCGGGUGAAGGAACUAGGCAAAAUGGUGCCGUAACUUCGGGAGAAGGCACGCUGAUAUGUAGGUGAAGCGACUUGCUCGUGGAGCUGAAAUCAGUCGAAGAUACCAGCUGGCUGCAACUGUUUAUUAAAAACACAGCACUGUGCAAACACGAAAGUGGACGUAUACGGUGUGACGCCUGCCCGGUGCCGGAAGGUUAAUUGAUGGGGUUAGCGCAAGCGAAGCUCUUGAUCGAAGCCCCGGUAAACGGCGGCCGUAACUAUAACGGUCCUAAGGUAGCGAAAUUCCUUGUCGGGUAAGUUCCGACCUGCACGAAUGGCGUAAUGAUGGCCAGGCUGUCUCCACCCGAGACUCAGUGAAAUUGAACUCGCUGUGAAGAUGCAGUGUACCCGCGGCAAGACGGAAAGACCCCGUGAACCUUUACUAUAGCUUGACACUGAACAUUGAGCCUUGAUGUGUAGGAUAGGUGGGAGGCUUGGAAGUGUGGACGCCAGUCUGCAUGGAGCCGACCUUGAAAUACCACCCUUUAAUGUUUGAUGUUCUAACGUUGACCCGUAAUCCGGGUUGCGGACAGUGUCUGGUGGGUAGUUUGACUGGGGCGGUCUCCUCCUAAAGAGUAACGGAGGAGCACGAAGGUUGGCUAAUCCUGGUCGGACAUCAGGAGGUUAGUGCAAUGGCAUAAGCCAGCUUGACUGCGAGCGUGACGGCGCGAGCAGGUGCGAAAGCAGGUCAUAGUGAUCCGGUGGUUCUGAAUGGAAGGGCCAUCGCUCAACGGAUAAAAGGUACUCCGGGGAUAACAGGCUGAUACCGCCCAAGAGUUCAUAUCGACGGCGGUGUUUGGCACCUCGAUGUCGGCUCAUCACAUCCUGGGGCUGAAGUAGGUCCCAAGGGUAUGGCUGUUCGCCAUUUAAAGUGGUACGCGAGCUGGGUUUAGAACGUCGUGAGACAGUUCGGUCCCUAUCUGCCGUGGGCGCUGGAGAACUGAGGGGGGCUGCUCCUAGUACGAGAGGACCGGAGUGGACGCAUCACUGGUGUUCGGGUUGUCAUGCCAAUGGCACUGCCCGGUAGCUAAAUGCGGAAGAGAUAAGUGCUGAAAGCAUCUAAGCACGAAACUUGCCCCGAGAUGAGUUCUCCCUGACUCCUUGAGAGUCCUGAAGGAACGUUGAAGACGACGACGUUGAUAGGCCGGGUGUGUAAGCGCAGCGAUGCGUUGAGCUAACCGGUACUAAUGAACCGUGAG